rnacentral:rRNA from 1 species
AGUGAACGCUGGCGGUAGGCCUAACACAUGCAAGUCGAACGGCAGCACAGUAAGAGCUUGCUCUUACGGGUGGCGAGUGGCGGACGGGUGAGGAAUACAUCGGAAUCUACUUUUUCGUGGGGGAUAACGUAGGGAAACUUACGCUAAUACCGCAUACGACCUACGGGUGAAAGCAGGGGAUCUUCGGACCUUGCGCGAUUGAAUGAGCCGAUGUCGGAUUAGCUAGUUGGCGGGGUAAAGGCCCACCAAGGCGACGAUCCGUAGCUGGUCUGAGAGGAUGAUCAGCCAAAAUUGAAAUGAGAAACGGUCCAAACUUCUAAGGGAGGCAGCAGGUGGGAAUAUUGGACAAUUGGCGGAAAGCUGAUCCAGGCAUACCCGGGGGGGGAAAAAGGCCUUCGGGUUUGUAAACCCUUUUUGUGGGAAAGAAAAGCAGCAGGUUAAUACCCCGCUGUUCUGACGGUACCCAAAGAAUAAGCACCGGCUAACUUCGUG